UUAUUCAGCAAUGGAUAACUGAGUGGCGAACGGGUGAGUAACACGUGGGUGACCUACCUUUGAGUGGGGGAUAACGUCCCGAAAGGGACGCUAAUACCGCAUAACAUCCUGCCUUUGAACAGGCGGAGAUCAAAGCCGGGGAUCGCAAGACCUGGCGCUUGAUGAGGGGCCCGCGUCUGAUUAGCUAGUUGGUGAGGUAACGGCCCACCAAGGCGACGAUCAGUAUCCGUGCCUGAGAGGGCGGACGGCCACACUGGGACUGAGACACGGCCCAGACUCCUACGGGAGGCACCAGUGGGGAAUUGUUCACAAUGGGCGCAACCCUGAUGACGCAACGCCGCGUGGAGGAGGAAGGUCUUCGGA
rnacentral:rRNA from 1 species